GGUUGCAACCGUCUAGUUAUUAACUCGGAUAACUUGGAAGUCAUUGAAACCAUGAAUAAUGGAGGACCGGCAAGUACAACGGCGACAGUGUUUGACGACUGUUAUUUUUUGGCUUGUGAUUUUCUCAUUAUUAGAUUCGAGCACUGUAAUAGGGAAGCCAAUAGGGUUGCCCAUGAACUUGCUAAGUUAGCUAGAUUUUCGUUAGCUUUGCACUGGUUUGAGGAGCCUUUGAGUGAAAUUGUACCGCUCCUCAUAAACGAUGUACUUGUUAUUGAAAAUGGAUAA
rnacentral:rRNA from 1 species